rnacentral:rRNA from 1 species
GACGAACGCUGGCGGCGCGCCUAACACAUGCAAGUCGAACGGUGAACCGGGCUUCGGCCCGGGGAUCAGUGGCGAACGGGUGCGUAACACGUGGGCAACCUGCCCCCGACCCUGGGAUAACCCCGGGAAACCGGAGCUAAUACCGGAUACUCUCCUGCGACCGCUUGGUCGAGGGAGGAAAGGUCCGCCGGUCGGGGAUGGGCCCGCGGCCUAUCAGCUUGUUGGGGGGGUAACGGCCUAGCAAGGCGACGACGGGUAGCUGGUCUGAGAGGACGACCAGCCACACUGGGACUGAGACACGGCCCAGACUCCUACGGGAGGCAGCAGUGGGGAAUCUUGCGCAAUGGGCGAAAGCCUGACGCAGCGACGCCGCGUGGGGGACGAAGGCCUUUCAGGUCGUAAACCCCUUUCGGCAGGGACGAAGCGAUCUCGUGACGGUACCUGCAGAAGAAGCCUCGGCUAACUACGUGCCAGCAGCCGCCGUAACAC